rnacentral:rRNA from 1 species
AGUGACGGUACCUGCAAGAAAAGCACCGGGCUAACUACGUGCCCAGCAGCCGCGGUAAUACGUAGGGUGCAAGCGUUGUCCGGGAAUUAUUGGGCGUAAAGAGCUCGUAGGCGGGUUUGUCGCGUCUGCUGUGAAAUCCCGAGGCUCAACCUCGGGCUUGCAGUGGGUACGGGCAGACUAGAGUGCGGUAGGGGAGAUUGGAAUUCCUGGUGUAGCGGUGGAAUGCGCAGAUAUCAGGAGGAACACCGAUGGCGAAGGCAGAUCUCUGGGCCGUAACUGACGCUGAGGAGCGAAAGCAUGGGGAGCAAACAGGCUUAGAUACCCUGGUAGUCCAUGCCGUAAACGUUGGGAACUAGAUGUGGGGACCAUUCCACGGUCUCCGUGUCGUAGCUAACGCAUUAAGUUCCCCGCCUGGGGAGUACGGCCGCAAGGCUAAAACUCAAAGGAAUUGACGGGGGCCCGCACAAGCGGCGGAGCAUGCGGAUUAAUUCGAUGCAACGCGAAGAACCUUACCAAGGCUUGACAUAUAGGAGAACGCACUGGAGACAGUGAACUCUUUGGACACUCCUAUACAGGUGGUGCAUGGUUGUCGUCAGCUCGUGUCGUGAGAUGUUGGGUUAAGUCCCGCAACGAGCGCAACCCUCGUCCUAUGUUGCCAGCACGUAAUGGUGGGAACUCAUGGGAUACUGCCGGGGUCAACUCGGAGGAAGGUGGGGAUGAGGUCAAAUCAUCAUGCCCCUUAUGUCUUGGGCUUCACGCAUGCUACAAUGGCCGGUACAAUGGGCUGCGAUACCGUAAGGUGGAGCGAAUCCCAAAAAGCCGGUCUCAGUUCGGAUUGAGGUCUGCAACUCGACCUCAUGAAGUCGGAGUCGCUAGUAAUCGUAGAUCAUUAACGUUACGGCGAAUA